GAUGAACGCUGGCGGCGUGCCUAAUACAUGCAAGUCGAGCGAACAGAUGAGGAGCUUGCUCCUCUGGCGUUAGCGGCGGACGGGUGAGUAACACGUGGAUAACCUACCUAUAAGACUGGGAUAACUUCGGGAAACCGGAGCUAAUACCGGAUAAUAUAUUGAACCGCAUGGUUCAAUAGUGAAAGACGGUUUUGCUGUCACUUAUAGAUGGAUCCGCGCCGCAUUAGCUAGUUGGUAAGGUAACGGCUUACCAAGGCAACGAUGCGUAGCCGACCUGAGAGGGUGAUCGGCCACACUGGAACUGAGACACGGUCCAGACUCCUACGGGAGGCAGCAGUAGGGAAUCUUCCGCAAUGGGCGAAAGCCUGACGGAGCAACGCCGCGUGAGUGAUGAAGGUCUUCGGAUCGUAAAACCCUGUUAUUAGGGAAGAACAAAUGUGUAAGUAACUAUGCACGUCUUGACGGUACCUAAUCAGAAAGCCACGGCUAACUACGUG
rnacentral:rRNA from 1 species